rnacentral:rRNA from 1 species
UACGGGGGGGGCAAGCGUUGUUCGGAAUUACUGGGCGUAAAGGGCUCGUAGGCGGCCAACUAAGUCGGAUGUGAAAUCCCCAGGCUUAACCUGGGAACUGCAUCCGAUACUGGAUGGCUUGAAUCCGGGAGAGGGAUGCAGAAUUCCAGGUGUAGCGGUGAAAUGCGUAGAUAUCUGGAGGAACACCGGUGGCGAAAGCGGCUCACUGGACCGUCUCUGACGCUGAGGUGCGAAAGCUAGGGUAGCAAACGGG